rnacentral:rRNA from 1 species
GAGUUUGAUCAUGGCUCAGGAUGAACGCUAGCGGCAGGCUUAACACAUGCAAGUCGAGGGGUAACGGGGAAGCUUGCUUCCGCCGACGACCGGCGCACGGGUGCGUAACGCGUAUACAAUCUACCUUAUACUGGGGUAUAGCCUUUAGAAAUGAAGAUUAACCCCCCAUAGUCUCUUAGAGUGGCAUCACUUCUAGAGUAAAGGUUACGGUAUAAGAUGAGUAUGCGUUCUAUUAGUUUGUUGGUGUGGUAACGGCACACCAAGACUACGAUAGAUAGGGGCCCUGAGAGGGGGAUCCCCCACACUGGUACUGAGACACGGACCAGACUCCUACGGGAGGCAGCAGUGAGGAAUAUUGGACAAUGGAGGCAACUCUGAUCCAGCCAUGCCGCGUGCAGGAAGACUGCCCUAUGGGUUGUAAACUGCUUUUAUACAGGAAGAAACACCUCUACGUGUAGAGGCUUGACGGUACUGUAAGAAUAAGGAUCGGCUAACUCCGUGCCAGCAGCCGCGGUAAUACGGAGGAUCCAAGCGUUAUCCGGAAUCAUUGGGUUUAAAGGGUCCGUAGGUGGAUAAUUAAGUCAGAGGUGAAAUCUUGCAGCUCAACUGUAAAAUUGCCUUUGAAACUGGUUAUCUUGAGUUAUUAUGAAGUAGUUAGAAUAUGUAGUGUAGCGGUGAAAUGCAUAGAUAUUACAUAGAAUACCAAUUGCGAAGGCAGAUUACUAAUAAUCAACUGACACUGAUGGACGAAAGCGUGGGUAGCGAACAGGAUUAGAUACCCUGGUAGUCCACGCCGUAAACGAUGGUUACUAGCUGUUUGGACUUCGGUCUGAGUGGCUAAGCGAAAGUGAUAAGUAACCCACCUGGGGAGUACGUUCGCAAGAAUGAAACUCAAAGGAAUUGACGGGGGCCCGCACAAGCGGUGGAGCAUGUGGUUUAAUUCGAUGAUACGCGAGGAACCUUACCAGGGCUUAAAUGUAAGUUGCAUUAGUUAGAGAUAGCUAUUUCUUCGGACCACUUACAAGGUGCUGCAUGGUUGUCGUCAGCUCGUGCCGUGAGGUGUCAGGUUAAGUCCUAUAACGAGCGCAACCCCUGUUGUUAGUUGCCAGCGAGUCAUGUCGGGAACUCUAGCAAGACUGCCAGUGCAAACUGUGAGGAAGGUGGGGAUGACGUCAAAUCAUCACGGCCCUUACGUCCUGGGCUACACACGUGCUACAAUGGUAGGUACAGAGAGCAGCCACUGCGCGAGCAGGAGCGAAUCUAUAAAACCUAUCACAGUUCGGAUCGGAGUCUGCAACUCGACUCCGUGAAGCUGGAAUCGCUAGUAAUCGGAUAUCAGCCAUGAUCCGGUGAAUACGUUCCCGGGCCUUGUACACACCGCCCGUCAAGCCAUGGAAGUUGGAAGUGCCUGAAGUCCGUCACCGUAAGGAGCGGCCUAGGGUAAAGUCGAUAACUAGGGCUAAGUCGUAACAAGGUAACC